rnacentral:rRNA from 1 species
GAUGAACGCUAGCUACAGGCUUAACACAUGCAAGUCGAGGGGAAACGAUAUUGGAAGCUUGCUUCCGAUAGGCGUCGACCGGCGCACGGGUGAGUAACGCGUAUCCAACCUGCCCACCACUUGGGGAUAACCUUGCGAAAGUAAGACUAAUACCCAAUGACGUCUCUAGAAGACAUCUGAAAGAGAUUAAAGAUUUAUCGGUGAUGGAUGGGGAUGCGUCUGAUUAGCUUGUUGGCGGGGUAACGGCCCACCAAGGCGACGAUCAGUAGGGGUUCUGAGAGGAAGGUCCCCCACAUUGGAACUGAGACACGGUCCAAACUCCUACGGGAGGCAGCAGUGAGGAAUAUUGGUCAAUGGGCGAGAGCCUGAACCAGCCAAGUAGCGUGCAGGAUGACGGCCCUAUGGGUUGUAAACUGCUUUUAUAAGGGAAUAAAGUGAGUCUCGUGAGACUUUUUGCAUGUACCUUAUGAAUAAGGACCGGCUAAUUCCGUGCCAGCAGCCGACGG